rnacentral:tRNA from 1 species
GGGUCUGUAGCUCAGCUGGUUAGAGCACACGCUUGAUAAGCGUGGGGUCGCUGGUUCAAUUCCAGCCAGACCCACCA